AUAUAGGUCCUCUAUUUCCAUUUUGUAGAGCAAUAGAGCCCAUGGCUUUUUGCCCAAGUUGGUUGAACCCUUGAAUAGUCAGCAUGGAAGGAGACAACUGUCGGACAAUCUAACAAGAUUAGAUUAAUGGUCGUCCCUCCCACUUCGCCAGUGAUCUAGAGAGGUCGAUUAUGGAAUUUGAACCCAAGUAAAAAGUCCUCUUCACCAAAAGUAAUUGCUCCCAG
rnacentral:lncRNA from 1 species